AAUCGCGAAUCAGAAUGUCGCGGUGAAUACGUUCCCGGGUCUUGUACACACCGCCCGUCACACCAUGGGAGUCGGGAAUGCCCGAAGUCAGUGACCCAACCUAUUGGAGGGAGCUGCCGAAGGCAGGUCUGAUAACUGGGGUGAAGUCGUAACAAGGUAUC
rnacentral:rRNA from 1 species